CAUGGCUCAGGACGAACGCUGGCGGCGUGCUUAACACAUGCAAGUCGAACGAUGAAGCCCUUCGGGGUGGAUUAGUGGCGAACGGGUGAGUAACACGUGGGCAAUCUGCCCUUCACUCUGGGACAAGCCCUGGAAACGGGGUCUAAUACCGGAUAACACUCUGUCCCGCAUGGGACGGGGUUGAAAGCUCCGGCGGUGAAGGAUGAGCCCGCGGCCUAUCAGCUUGUUGGUGGGGUGAUGGCCUACCAAGGCGACGACGGGUAGCCGGCCUGAGAGGGCGACCGGCCACACUGGGACUGAGACACGGCCCAGACUCCUACGGGAGGCAGCAGUGGGGAAUAUUGCACAAUGGGCGAAAGCCUGAUGCAGCGACGCCGCGUGAGNNAAUGACGGCCUUCGGGUUGUAAACCUCUUUCAGCAG
rnacentral:rRNA from 1 species